rnacentral:pre_miRNA from 1 species
CCUUGAUCUUUGUUUUCUGAGAUUUUCUAGAGCUCGAAAAUAUCACAGCAAAGAUUGAGCGC